rnacentral:rRNA from 1 species
CAGCCGUAAACUAUGCGCGUUAGGUGUACUGGUGACCACGAGUCACCGGGGUGCCGAAGGGAAACCGUGAAACGUGCCGCCUGGGAAGUACGGUCGCAAGGCUGAAACUUAAAGGAAUUGGGCGGGGGGAGCACCACAACAGGUGGAGCCUGCGGUUUAAUUGGAUUCAACGCCGGACAUCUCACCGGAUAAGACAGCUGAAUGAUUGUCAAUCUGAAGGUUUUACAUGACUAGCUGAGAGGAGGUGCAUGGCGUCAGUGACU